rnacentral:rRNA from 1 species
AGCGUAUAUUAAAGUUGUUGCAGUUAAAAAGCUCGUAGUUGAAUUUCGGGGUUAGUAGGUUGGUCAUGCCUCUGGUAUGUACUGGUCUCACUGAUUCCUCCUUCCUGAUGAACCUUAAUGCCAUUUAUUUGGUGUUUUGGGGAAUUUGGACUGUUACUUUGAAAAAAUUAGAGUGUUUAAAGCAAGCUAACGCUUGAAUACAUUAGCAUGGAAUAAUGAAAUAGGACGUUCGAUCCUAUUUUGUUGGUUUCUAGGAUUGACGUAAUGAUUAAUAGGGAUAGUUGGGGGCAUUAGUAUGCAAUUGUCAGAGGUGAAAUUCUUGGAUUUAUUGAAGACUAACUACUGCGAAAGCAUUUGCCAAGGAUGUUUUCAUUAAUCAAGAACGAAAGUUAGGGGAUCGAAGACGAUCAGAUACCGUCGUAGUCUUAACCAUAAAC